CAGCGCCUCCCUCACAGUGCCUGGAUUAAAAGUGGUAAAAGUGGGGCUUGAGCAGACGCUCUUUUCUGUACCUGAUAUUUUUUCCCCUUAUGUAGAGUUAAGUUAAGCUUUUUACAUCUGCAAUAAUUGCUCGUGUGAAAAUAAAAUUUUACAGCCAUAUACUGAAGUCCAGGAAGUAGAAGAAAAUAAAAGGUGCUUUCUGUUUGGGCAGAAGCAAGGCUCCCAUUACAUAUCUUAGCCAGGUUAUUCAGUCACCCUAGGGAGCAAGACUGGCAGAAUUGUUAAAAGUAACAUCAUAAGGGUAUGAAACAGGUUCUUGAAAGAAGUUGACAUUUUGUGGGGCUUGGAAAAAUGAAGUGUUUUUUGAUGGGCCCUAUGAUGAGGAAUAGCAAGCCUGCAGGGUAGAAUGCAAGUGCAAAGCCUGAUUAGAAUAAGGCCUUGGGUAAUGGGGAGAUGAGAUAAAGCUAGGAAGAUAAUUUGGGGCCAUGUUAGGAAUGAUUUUUGUGAUUCAGAAGUUUUGUUCUUAGAAAUUGAGGGAAGGGAACUCCAGUCUCCCUUGGUUUGGGGGAACUCACUCCCUUGUCUGGAUUGUUAAAAUAUAUCCACAAAAGCUUUAGGAAAGUGAGUUUUCCAGGAUCAUUCUCCAAACCAGUAAUUCUUAAUCCUGGUAACCUUGUGAUGGGAGAUGGGGGGAUUAAUGCUCUCUCAGCCUUACCUGUAGAGAUUCCCAAUCAGGAAGUAUUGGGCAGGACCUGGUAGUCUGAAUUGUUAACCACGCAGGUAACUUUGAAGCACAACCAGUGCUUUACAGGCUUCUGAGUUUUGAUAUUUGAUGACAUUAUGUACUGAAACAAAAGCCCUCUGAGGUGUUACUUCAGAAAGUACUGUCUCAGAGCUGGGCAUUGUGGCAAGUGCCUGUACUCCCAGCUACUUAGGAGGCUCAGGAAGAGGAUCACAAGUUUAAGAGCAUCUUGGGCAAGUUAGCAAGUCCCUACCUCAAAAUCCAAAAAAAGUUUGAGAAUUUAGCUCAUGAUAAAGUGCCCCUGGGUUCAAUCCCCAGUGCUACAGAGAGAAAGAAAACUAUCUCACACAUGGAUAGUCGAAAAGGAGAAAGAUUAAGGCUGGUUUUAGGGAGAGGGGCUUUGGAAUCAUUUGCUAGGAGUCUUAUCUCCUGUACUCCCAGGCCAUAAUGGCAGCCCGCCUAGUGAAACAAUGCACAUACCUCCUGAGAGAAGCCACUCGCUUAUCCCCUGCUAUGGCUCCAGUUAGUCGACUGAGACUUGCCAGGACAGCCCAUAAGACUUUGACCUUCUCAGCCAUCUCACACAGUUCCCACUCUCCAGGUUCCUUGACAGAGUUGGUAGAAAAGGAUCAAGUGUUUACUCCUUACCCAGAGCGCCAAGAGAUAGACCGGCUCAUCGAGAAGGCCACCAGUCCACAGGAGCUCUUAGAGCUGGUUGGUGGUGAUCAGAGCCUGCACCACAAUCAUGCGGCCCUCAUACUUAUCCGCCUUUCUCAUCUGCUAUCCGAGAAGCCAGAAGACAAGGCCUUGCUCAUACAGGAUAUUCGCUUUCAGCAACUUCUUCAUCUAGUCAGUAGUCAGAUAGCCACAGUCUGGCAUGGGACUCUUGUGAAGCUGCUGCGGAGCUUAUACAUUUUGGCACUCCCCGGGACCUCUAAGGAACUGCAGUCAGUGGAGCAAGAGGUGCGCUGGCGCCUGCGGAGGCUCAAAUACAAGCACCUGGUCUUCCUGGCUGAGUCAUGCGCUGCCUCCAUGCAAGAGCAGCAUUCCAAAGAGCUGCUGGCUGAGUUGCUGGUGCACCUAGAGAGGCGCUGGACAGAGAUUGAAGAUGGCCGCACAGUUGUGGCCAUCAUGAUGAAGGCAGGGCACCUUUCAGAGUCAUUGAUGAACCGCCUGGAAGACAAGUGCCUGGAGCUGGUGGAGCAGUUUGGCCCUGACGAGUUGCGGAAGGUGCUAAUGACGCUGGCAGCUCAGAGCCGGCGGUCGGUGCCCUUGCUGCGGGCCAUCUCCUACCACUUGGUACAGAAGCCCCUCCCGCUGACGAAAGGCAUGCUUCUGGACCUGGCUUAUGCCUACGGCAAACUCAGCUUCCACCAGACACAAGUGUCCCAGCGCCUGGCUGCUGACCUCCUGUCACUCAUGCCCAACCUGACAUCUGGUGAGGUAGCCCACUGCACCAAGUCCUUCGCCUUCCUCAAGUGGCUCAACCUGCCCCUGUUUGAAGCCUUUGCCCAGCACAUCUUGGACAGAGCCCAGAAUGUUACCCUGCCUCACCUGUGCAGCAUGCUUCUGGCUUUUGCCCGUUUGAACUUCCACCCAGAAAAAGAGGAUCAAUUCUUCAACCUGGUACAUGAGAGGCUAGAAUCUGCACUUGCAAGCCUGGAGCCAACCCUACAGGUGGACCUAGUGUGGGCACUCUGUGUGCUGCGGCAGGUGCAGGAGGUGGAGCUACAAGCUGUUCUCAAUCCUGGAUUUCACACAAGAUUUCUAGAGGGCAAGUGUCUAAAGGACCAGAGCACCCUCCAGAAGCUGCUCCACAUCAAUGCCACCGCCCUGCUGGAGCACCCCGAUUACAAGGGCCCCCUCCUGCCAGCUUCAGCCUUGGCCUCCAAGCCUUCUGCCCCUGACAAGAAGAUGACCCCCUUACAAAAGGAACUACAGGAAACACUGAAGAUGCUGAGGUACUAUUGGAUGCUGAUGGCCAGUUUCUGCCCCUGAGGGACUUUGUUGCACCUCACCUUGCCCAGCCAGUUGGGAGCCAGCCACUGCCACUGGGGGCUAAAAGGGUUGCUUUCCUGCGCUGGGAAUUUCCCAACUUCAAUAGCCGAAGCAAGGAUUUGCUGGGCCGCUUUGUCCUGGCUCGCCGCCACAUGCUGGCUGCAGGCUUCCUGUUGGUGGAU